ensembl:snRNA U2 U2 spliceosomal RNA
AUCUCUUCUCAGCCUUUGGCUAAGAUCAAGUGUAGUAUCUGUUCUUAUCAGUUUAAUAUCUGAUACGUCCUCUAUCCAAGGACAAUAUAUUAAAUGGAUUUUUGGAGCAGGGAGUUGAAAUAGGAGCUAGCUCCGUCCACUCCACGCAUGUACUUCCAGGAACGGUGCACCAGAA